rnacentral:misc_RNA from 1 species
AGAAUCAUCACCUUUUUCAAAUUUCUAUGUGAAAAAUGUCUGGUCGUGGAAAGGGAGGCAAGGGAUUGGGAAAGGGGGGAGCCAAGAGGCAUAGGAAGGUUCUAAGAGACAAUAUACAGGGUAUCACUAAGCCAGCUAUUCGCAGGCUUGCUCGUAGGGGUGGUGUGAAGCGUAUCUCUGGUCUCAUCUAUGAGGAGACCCGUGGUGUGUUGAAGAUCUUUUUGGAGAAUGUGAUUCGUGACUCUGUCACCUACACUGAGCACGCCAGGAGGAAGACUGUAACUGCUAUGGAUGUCGUCUAUGCUCUUAAGAGACAGGGAAGGACUCUCUAUGGAUUUGGCGGUUAAAUUGGGGGUUUAUGUUGGUGAUAUGGUGGUAAAUGUAGGGAUUUAGUUUACAAUUGCGUAUGUCUGUGUUGGAUAUCUGUAGUGCUGUUCUUAUGGCUUAGAUCUUGUAAUUUCUCAUUACAGUAUCAAUGAAUAGAUAUCAGUUUCUAGUGAUGA